AAAAAAAGAAUAAGGGAGAGGAAAAAGUCCAAGAUGACCCCUCCUUUUUUCCUGACUUGGGUGAAAGUCAAUAAGGAUGUUUAAGCACUGGUCAGCUGUUUUUGUUCUUGGAUGCAUUUUUCUGGAGUCAGAAGGAAGACCAACAAAAGAAGCAGGAUAUGGCCUUAAAUCCUAUCAACCUUUAAUAAGAUUGCGACAUAAGG